CAUGCUGUGUGCUUGCGCUGUUUAUAAAAAUUUUUCCUCCACCUUUUUGACAGUCGUUCGUGGCCUCUGGGGAGCAGCUGGGGUUUCCCUGAGCGGUGACUCGGUUUUGGAGCGGGCGGGUGUUGGGUGUUUGCUGUUUCCUGAGGCUCUGAAAUCUCAUCUGUUUCUUAAAUAUACUUGACAGAUCUAACGUUGUUUGUCAGCGAAAUUGACGCAGUUGCAUUUUCCAGUUAUUGGCGUUGUCUACCAAAAACUGACUUGAGAAACGUUUUAAGUGUCAGUCCCAAGAACUUCUCUGUAUUCUUGACAGCAUCUGCCUCCUCUUCCAUGGUAGAGAUAAUGCUAAAUCUCAAACCUGGUACAAGUUGACAAAGCUAAUUGGAAUUCCUUUACUGGGGAGUAUCACGAUGCCCUGAUUUCCUCCCUGAUAUGUUUUACUGUAAUUCAUACCCUUGUGAAUUGGUGCCACUGUGAACGGUUGUAGGGAAAUGCCCUCAUAGGGAGCUUGUUCAGACAGCAAGUUUUGAUUGCUGUAAGCUAUGCAGUUAUCUGAAGUCUUCUUAUAAAAUCUCUACAACAUCUUGCAGAAAACUCAAAAGAGUUUGUUGUUGAAGCAUUCAAUUGUAUGUAUUUUCUGUUAAAUAUAAUCAACACCCUGCAUACAGUGCUCAUGAUGGUUAUCAUGUUUGCUUGUGUUAGCAGUUUCUGUGGCUGCUUGCUGUCUUUGUAGAGGUGAACCAGGGACAGCAAUGGCCAUAGAUUUCCCUUUACUUGAGAAAAGUGCUUCCUAAAUGGAAGCAGGCUGAAGGAAAUAGACCUGUGGCAUUAAAAUACACUAACCCAUGUGUUGGAAAUGGCCUUGGAAUGCUGAACUCGGGAAGCAGCCUAUAAAGUGGUGGGGGUGGAGUUGUGCUGAGGCUAAAGCUGAGGCACGGAGAUCUGCCUGUGUGCUUUGAGGAUGCAGCUCUUGUUCCCACUGUACACUAACAUUAAACUUCCACAUUUCUCCUUCAGCCAGCUGUUAAAUGUGUGAUACCCUGGUGUUACAGUGGGAAUUUUUGUGGUGCUCACUUAAUGUUUAGGAAGAGAUACUUACAUGUUAUUUACACGUUCCUGACAAAAUAUCCGUACACUUAUGUGUACAUAAAUAUACAGGAUUUAACUAUCCUGUUUGGGGAAUUGGUCAGCAAUAUUUAUACAACCAUAAGAUCUAUUAACUGUGCAUGUACUUGUACACCUCUGUAGAAGCAUAUUUCUUUUAAGAAAAAAAUAUUAAUCUCUGUGGUUGCACACAAGCACUUAGGUUAACAAAACCUGGAUGGUUAAACCAUGAAGUUGAUUUUCCAAGUGAUUUGUGUGCCAGUGAUUUGCCUGGGUUACAACAGUGAUUAGAUAAAAUCAUGGGGCAGAAUUGUACCACGGGGAUUAUUUUAAACACAAAUAUAAAACUUGAGGUAUUUCGGGGCUGCUUAUGAAAGGAAGCUGGAUAAAUAUGGCUGUGUAUUUACCUUACUGCUGGAUUUUUUCCCUGGGCUUUGUUAUUAACUAUUGUUGGAUACAGGAUGUUGGGCUGCUGGGGUCAUUGGUCUGUCCCGAUAGAGCUGUCCUUGUGCUCUGUUGCUGGGUUCCAGCAUGCUCAGAGUCCGUGUUAUCAGUAUCUGGAACAAACUCCGUUUAUCUCAAAGAACGAAAUGUGCUGCUUUUGCAAAACUGUGUCUCUUCUUUACAUCUUUGAACUUAGAGGAAAUGGCUGAGUGAUGAUGAAAUCAUCUUUUUUUUUUUUUUUUCCAUUUGCUGCUAUGAUGCUUCAGACAUUUAACUGAAACAUCUUAUAAUUGUUCUCAGAUCCAAAGCUCGAAAAUAUUUGGUAAACAUGAGGAACCUUCAUUUGGAACUUGGUCUGGAGUGUCAUCACUUGAAAAUUGAGUGGAAAAAUAAAUCUGCUUUAGAUUAAAGUAUUAAUAUAUUGAGCAUAUGAGCUGCUUAACUUCUCAAUGUUGUUUGUAUCAGCAGGAUGCUUUAUUCAGCUUCAAAAGCCAAGGAGAUGUGGAUUUACUUUGCCUUUGUGUCCUUUAUACCUUUGCAAAGCAGAAUAAAUCUGUGCUUUAAGAGUUGUACAGUUCUUUUGAAGUUACUCUCUAGCCUGUUACAGUCUCCUUGCAAAAGCUGUAAGCAGUUGAAAUACCACAGCCAAGAAGGUCCAUCUUGAGGAAUUUACUUGCGUGGUGUGGUGAAGAAGAUACAGCUGGUGACCUUGUAAUGAAAGAGAGUGGAGCUGACCAUGAUAUUGCUAUGGAAGGAUCUAAGGAUUUGUUCAUAGGCAGCUGUAAUGGUACAGGAGAGUCAGAAACAAAUGAUCAGAUUUUUCAGAAGUUGUUGCUGCUGCUCCAAGUACAUUUUACUGUUUUUCCUCUGUGAAAGCAAGUAACGUGCAUGGAUUCCAGGGAUCUCUUGUUUGGCCAGAGCGACUCUCCCCCAGCCCUGCCCAUCACAGUCCCCCUCUCGGGCAGUCCUCCGGCAUCGGCCGUGCCGGCGCGGCCGCCCCAGCCACGCUCGCACUCUGCCGAGGAAUUCCAGCUGGCAGAGCAACCCAGGCAGCCCCUGUGCGAGCUGCAGCCCCUGGGAGGGCCCAGCGCACCCAUGAUGAUUGUUGCUAGCCAGUCAGAAAAUGGACAGGUGCUGCAUGUCAUUCCUUCUGCCCAGCCAGGAGUGACCCAAGUGAUUAUUCCUCCAGGUCAGCUUCUGGAUGUGACCAGCACACAGGAUAUUUCAGAAGAGAAGUGUAGUGAUGGGAACCUGCAGACUGUGGUGGUGGCUUCCAUAGCAGACAGUGCAAGCAGUUACAUUCUACAUCCACAGGCAUCUCUCACUGUAUCCAGAAAAACAACCACCAGGGUAGUGGAAGAUUCUUUUCCCACCCCUCUUCAGCCAUUGCCACUAAAUACGCCUGCAUGGGCACGCCGUCUCAGGAACUGUGAGAGAAUUGGGGACUCGUACCGCGGCUAUUGCGUGAGCGAGGCCGAGCUAGAGAGCGUCCUGGCGCUCCACAAGCAGCAGACACAGAGCGUGUGGGGCACGCGCCAGUCGCCGAGCCCGGCCAAACCCGCCACACGCUUGAUGUGGAAAUCUCAGUAUGUCCCAUAUGAUGGGAUCCCCUUUGUCAAUGCAGGAAGCAGAGCCAUUGUAAUGGAGUGCCAAUAUGGGCCAAGGAGGAAAGGAUUUCAGCCCAAAAAAGCUGGUGAGCAGGAAAGCACCUCUAGCCAGCUGUACAAAGCCACUUGUCCAGCAAGGAUCUAUAUUAAAAAGGUCCAAAAGUUUCCAGAAUACAGGGUUCCUACUGACCCUAAAAUUGACAAGAAAAUCAUAAGAAUGGAGCAGGAGAAAGCAUUCAACAUGCUGAAGAAGAACUUGAUAGAUGCUGGUGGUGUCCUCAGGUGGUAUGUACAGUUACCUACUCAGCAAGCCCACCAAUAUCAUGAAAUGGAAACUUCCUGUCUCCCUCCUUCACCAUCCCAUCUUUCUGUGUCUUCUCCUGAGGAGGAGGAGGAGGUCAUUAGAGAUGAGAACAGUACUCUGCCUUCUCGACUUCAUCCUCAGGUGGCAGACAAGAUCCGAGAACUGGUGUCUCAGGGAGUAGAGCAGGUCUAUGCAGUGAGGAAGCAGCUAAGAAAGUAUGUGGAAAGAGAAUUGUUCACACCUGAUGAAGUGCCAGAAAGACAUAACCUGUCCUUCUUCCCCACUGUGAAUGACAUCAAGAACCACAUUCAUGAAGUGCAGAAGUCCCUAAGGAAUGGAGAGAUGGUGUAUAAUUCCGAAAGUAUCCCAGCAACGUUGCAAUGGACCACAGACAGUGGGAAUGUCCUCACAGAAACAGUGACGGUUGCGUUUUCCUCAUCACCUUCAGAUGGGAGCUCAGGAGUGGAGUCAGUCAUCACCAAAGCAGUAUCCAACCAGAGCGGGGAGUCCUUGAUACCAGAAACAGCUCAGCUGCUGUCUUCACUCUCUUCACUUCAGCCCAAGAUAUUUGCACAGCUUCAGGGAUUGCAGCUGCAGUCAGCAUUUACCUCGACAAAUGGAUCAACAGCCCUGCUAGCUGUAAAUAACCAUUCCCCUCCCAGCCCUGCAGGUCUCCUGGAUUCCCUGGGGGGUGCAAUAGGCAGCCAUUCUCUAGCACUUAUUCAGGGGCACAGUCUGCAAGCAGGUGCUGGCCUGACACAGGACAAUGCUGCUGUGCCUGCUUUUGGGGCUCUGCCUGCCUCUGAUCAGAGUCUGGUUGCCAUGGGCCAGCUGGUACCAGCUGAAGGGGUGGAUGACUCCAGAAGCCUGGAAGGAGGAGUGCAGCAGAUUCUCUUGGGAGAUGUGCAGACUAUCCCAGUAAGGAUUGUGGACAACCAGCCAGCACUUAGUGAAGAAAAUACAGAGAAUGUUGUUACUUGUGUGAGUCAAGUUAAACAAGAACCAAGAGAAAAAGCAUUGUCUAUGGAAACAGAUAAAACCAGAGACUACCACAGUUCCUCACCAUAGUUCUUCGCCUUCACCUGUGAAGCCUGGAAGGAUUUUCAAAUUGGAGAACUCUAAAUGGCUUGGAAGGAAAGGCAGGUGCUCUCAAAGUACUGCCAUUCUUUUUUAGUUGUGUAUGACAUUCAGACUAAGCAUAUUUUAGAGUACUUCUGACCGAAGGCUGUUUUGGUUUGACUGAUGGGGCUCACUGCCAACUCCAGGUCAUUCCGUUGCCCCGUGGAACACCACCCCUCUCUUCUGUUUCAAGUUUUGAGUAAUUUGGAUUCUAUCCAAAUGGCCCAUUUUGUUAAUUGUUUCUGAAGGUCUUCCACAAUUUAAUUCCUUAGCUUUAGAAUGUGGAUCACAAUGCUGGGUUCACAUUUUCUGCUUGAGACCCUUGACUUUUAUUGUACUACAGAGACCGUAGAAUCUGUCAGCCCCAAGAUCACAGAAUCCAACAGCAAAGUGGAUCAGUAUGGCAAUGGUUUUGUGACAAAAGGAAGGUCCAGGAUGCUAAACUUCAAAGUGAUAAAGGACAUGGAUGCUUAAGAAAAUGCAGCUUUGACCUGAUCAUAAUGUUAAUGGUGUGAAGAUCAAGGACAGGAGAAAGCUCAGUAUCUGCCCAAAUGUCUCUUUCUUCACACUUAUUAAGGCUUCCGCAGAAAUCCCAUGUCCUCAGGCCCUCCAAUUCUCAGUGUUUCACUGUUGGACUGUUGAAGGAGCUGCUGAGUUCACUGCACAGGUCAGAAGCUAUCCAGCUGGCCUAUCCAACAGCAGCAGCUAAGAACAUGAAGCAUUCCAAACUACCCGUCAAAACCACCAUGCUCAGAGCCUGCAAGGAUCACUUACCUCUGAGAGUACUCCAGAUAACUGUCAAGAGACCAGAGCAGAGAACAGAAGAGGAAGACAAGUUUGCAAAAAACUCCCCGCAGGAGGUAGAAAGCUCUCAGAGUUACAGCUGAAGAUUGCAAUUUCUUAUGGCUGAAAUGGCUCACUUUAGAUGUGUGCUGGUUAUCUUCUGAAAGCAAACUGGUCUGAUAACUCCAUGGUUUUGGCUGUUGACAAAGCUGUUAUCACAUCUGAGGUGUUCUGUACAUGGAAGGAGAUGGAGGAAGUGGGAACCUUCUUGACCUGACUUCUACUGAGAACUGAUGAUCUGUGGAAAGAGGGCUUUACUGGUUUAAAAUCAAUAUCCUCACAAUAAUUUCUUGGUUGUACAGGUUUUUCAUGUCAGGUGCUAGUGCAUCUCUAACUUUGCACAUAAUACAAGCCAUAAAAUUACCUCUCACUGGCCUAGCCAUGUUUUUUGUUGUCUCCUACCACUGUACUCAUUGCUUUCUGGGACUGGGGAAAUUGUUUUAACAUGUUCUGGUUUUCCACUUUUCUGCCUUUUUCCUGUUGCCUCUUUCUCAUACCCAGAGAUGCACAGAAACAAAUUUCUCAUUUUAAAAAAAUUCUCUAUCCUCAGUUUCCCACAUUUUGGGGUUUUGUUUUUGCUUUAUUGUGCUGGAGUUUGAUUUCUUACAUGAUUGAGAUGUAAGAUAUCAUUGCAUUUUGUUUAAGGAGUGGGAAAUACUGGGGUAAGCUCCACUGCCCCCUUCACUCCAGAAGUCCUUAGAGAAAGCACCUGCUACAGGUUCUGCUCCUGCACCUGCAUCUCCACACAGGUCAGCACAAAUGCAGAGCUGUGCUGAUGACAGCAGUGUCUUGCACUUUAUGCACCAGCACCUUAUCAGUACAAAGUUACUGCUGUGAGUCCAGAUCAGUCUGUGGGUCUGCCCCACUGUGUCCCCACAAAUACAGUGGGGCACAACUUGAAAGGGAGCAGAGGAGAUGGCCAGGAAGUUCUUAAUGUUCAACUUGGAGUUUGUGCUUCUGUGUUGAGUUCAGGUGCCCUGGAGCGGGUCGCCCUGUGCAGGACACAGCUGGUUCCAGGCAGCUCUGCAAUGGACCCAGCACAGGACACAGCUGAGCACAUCAGUGAAGCUGGGGCACCUCUGUGGAGGUGUCUGUAAGGAAGGGAAAAUGCUGCAUGGCAGAGAGGAGUGAGCAAGGAGGUGAAAGAGUCCUCUCAGCACCGAGAGAAGGAGAGGGAGGAAUUGCUUCAGGUGCCAGAAGCAGGUGUGUUCCCUGCAGACCACAGAGGAUUACAUGCCAGAGCAGGUGCAGAUUUUUCUGAAGGAACUGCAGUCCAUGGAGAGGAGCCAUGCUAGAACAGGUUUCUGCUGAAGGACUGCUGCCUGUGGAGAGGACCAUGAUGGAGCAACAGAAAGGAGCUGUUACAGACUGCAAUGCCCACAUUCCUCUUUGCCUUGUGCUGCCUUGGACAAGGGGAGACAGAGAAGCUGGGGGUUCAAAGUGUGAAGUUGAGUCUGAGGAAAGAGAGCAACAGGAAGGGAACGUGCUGUUUUGAUUUGCUUUUGUUUCUCAGUGAUUUAAUCCAUUUUAAUUGGCAAUAAAUUAGCUUUCCUUUAUUGAUUCAAAUAUUGAAAUUUACAUCUGGAUGCAAGUCAUGGUGGAAAAUCCUGAUGUCUCUUUGAUCACUGCAAGUUACUAUUGCCUUUAAUUUUUUAAGUAAUCAAAUUUUUAUUUUUAAGAAUUCAUUUUUUGUGAAGGAAGUAGGGCACCUUGUCUGAAUCAGCAAAUGCAUUUCUGGAUGUAUUCUGCUUAGGCCUUUCAAGUUCAGCAUACUAACUUCACUAGAGUAGAUCUCAGGUGGAGAGUUAACUCAGGAACGUGUCUAAUCCCUUACAUUUCAGCUGGAAAACAAUACCAGACAUAUUUUUACAGGUUGGAGCAUGAGAGAGUCAUUCUGAGGAGAGGAUGCUGCAGCAGUAGAUUCUACUUUAUCUACUUUAGUAAGCUGUUCUUACAGGUACUAAGGGUGUGGCAUCUUCCUAGUGUUAUGUCUAGCAGUGCUUCAGAAUGGGGCAAAGUUUGUGGUGAGUGGCAUCUUUGGUGAAAAUGCUGUUAACUCUGGGAAAAGAAAUAAGCAGAGUUUGGCAAUGAGAUUUAUAAUCUUGUGCUUUCCAGAGAUUAUUUUCCUGAUUAAGAAGGAAAGUUCCUUUAGAGGGUAAGUUUAUAUGUAACUUCUUACACCACCUUUGGAAAAUACCUGGCAGUGGACACCAAGGGUACCUAGACAGGGUACUGGGUGACGUGACACACUCACUGCUUUAUAAUGGGGGCACUGGAAUAUAAAAUUGAUGGAUAGCUUCCUAACAUUAGCUAAAUUAAUCUUUUCAUCCUCUCUCUUCACAUUUCACUAUAAAGGGAAGAGUCUGUUAAGGGAAUAUGGUGAAUUGGUAGUUGUUCAUAAAAGUGUUUAUGAACAGUUGGAUGAAAAGGACUUCUUUGAUAAUGAAUUAGAUGAGCUUCAGAAAGAAUUGUACUGUCAUUGUAUUUUCUUCCAAUUGUAUCACUCACUAUUGAUUAUUGUCUCACUGUUUAUUUGGUGUAUAAUUUAUUUGUUAAGCUUUUCUGGCCAUGUCAGGGCCAUAGAUGUAAUACAUAUGGCAAUUCUCGUUUUAAGUUUUAUAAAAGGGAAAGGAAUUCUUCAUUUUUUAUUUAGCCACCAGCUGCUCUGGAAAAGUCCAUUAUUAUCCAUGUUCUAUGGCUACCAAAAAUAUUUUGUGCUGAGUAUUCCGUAAACUUGAGAUUUUUCCUUGGAUCAGGCAAAGUGAAUUUAACAUCUUAAAAAAAAAAACAAACAAAAAACCCCAGACUACUCUGGAACCAAAUCUAGCAUCUUCAGGAGCUAUGACCUAGGGUUCAUCAGUUGCAAUUGUAAAAAGAUUGAUGUUUUCAUAGUGAAAUGUUUUUAUUCAUCUAGUUUAAUCUAUGAACAAAAGUGUCUCCGUUCCUCUUAUUUCAGACUUCUGAACUCCUUUGCAAAAUGACAGAGCACUAGUGAGAUUAGCUAAUAACUGCAAAAAUGGAAAAUAUUUCACUGGGGACAGGUGCUAACAAAAUGUACCAUAAAGGCAGCCAGCAUAAUUAACAUUAGCAAGGUAAGAUCUUUCACAGAUUAACUACAGGCUAAUACCUUUGGUGGUACACUGAUGUUUAUUCUGAUCUUGCAAACAACAAUAAUGUUUAUGAGCCUUUGCAGAAAGAACUGGGAAAUAAAGCACUUUCUAAAAUGCCA